UCCCAAUUACAUAUCAAACAAAAAGGCAGUCCACUACCAGAUUUACAAAUUCACUACACCAUGCCUUUCUAAAAAAAAAUGUGUGCUAGGACCAGUGAGUUCCAUCUCUACAACUAUUAAGAGCGGAUUGUAGACUGCCCCCGCCGCUACCAAAUCCUCCCGCUACCACGCGCCCAGCCCCCGCAAAAAUCGCCGCAACCGAACGCCGCGAUUCCCCGCCCGCAGAUCACGCGCAAGCGCAACCGACCCCUGCCGCGAUUCCCCUCCGCGGCGAAUCACCUGCAUCCGCAACUUCCGCUGGAGCAGGGGCCCCAUCUCCGGCCUGCUCAAGGGCUACGUCGGCCUCAGCACCGCCAUCUUCAUCGACACCUGCUUCGCGCUCUUCGCCGACGACCCGGCCUCGUUCCUCGUCAUGCUCGUCGUCGUGCCGGCCGCCGUCUGCGCGCUCGCCAUGGUGUUCCUCCGCGAGGGCACCGCCGCUGCGGACGAGGAGGACGACGGGCGCUGCUUCGCUCGCACCGCUCCUUCAAGGCGGGACAGGCAGCGGACGGUGGAGGGCUCGGACGCGCGGCUAAAGUGGGCGGCGGGGCCGCGCCGCGGGAGAUCUGGAGGUUGGCGAGCGCCCCGGAGAGAGCCCCCACCCCGGAGCCUGGUGGCCCUGGCUUGAGCCCUGCGCGGUAGGGUUUUGCGCGGCGAACGGCGGCAGCGGCUGCGGAGACGACGCCAUGGAUCGCAGCGAGAUCGGGUGCUCUGCUCUGCUACAGCAUGGAUCGUUUCGUGCGCGGUCGGGUCUGGCGGUCUGGCUUUUAGCACGUCACAUUUGGGAAAAUCGCUCGUGGACCUGCAUUUUAGUGUGGCAAAUUCACUAUAGAGGACAUUUUAAUGCAAUGGCGUAAGGCUCUGAGUUUGCCCAGAUGUUGAUGCUUUCGGGUAUACCUUCGUUGGAUAUAUAGGGUUUGUGAUGUUUUGGAAUUCUGCAAUUGAUCAAUGCUAGAUUUUUUUUGAUAGCGAUCAAUGCUAGAAUUGAAUUGCUGUAGAAUGCAUUCUACUUGCUGCUUGCAGUCGUGGUUGGUUAGAGGAAACUGUUUGGAUGGGGAGGAUUUCUCUAGGAACUUUUAGUUAUCCAUAAUGAUGGUGUCUAUUUCUAUGAUGCCUCAUAGUUACUAAAAUUUGCUUAUGUGUCACAGAAAGUUUCCAUAUGGCCUGUUUGGAUGGGGAGGAUUUCUUUAUGAACUUUUAGUUAUCCAUAAUGAUGUUGUCUAUUUCUAUGAUGGCUCAUAGUUAAUUAGUUAUAUAAUGAAUUCAUGUUAAGGUUAUGAUUUGGUCCUGAUAAAUCUCUUUACUCUCUUUUCUCUAAACCGAACAGCUAGCUGUGUUCACUGUUGCAGGAAAAGAGUAGUUUCUGGUGUACAGCCAACAGGAUCGGUUCACCUUGGAAAUUAUCUAGGGGCAAUUAAGAAUUGGGUUGCACUUCAGGCACAUGGUGUUUCAUCGAUUUUGAAUUUUAGUGAGAAUUGUACACCAGAAUUUUUGACGCCUUACCUGGAUGGAAUCGUGAAUAAAUUACUUGUUCUUCUUCAGAAUGGCAAGCAAAUGGUGCACGGGGGAGCAUUGACAGCUCUAGCGUCAGUAGCAUGGCAACAACCUCAGAUGCGCCGUCGUCAUCUUCUACAUCUUCCUCAAUGAAAAGGGUGCAAAGACGGAAUUCGAAAAAAGACUUGGCGAGUUCUUCAAGCACCAAAUCGGAACAGAUUCUUCUGUGGCUUAUGGAGAUGGGUUUCGAGCACUACACGUUGUAAGCAUGUGGUCGACCCUAUUCGACUGCUUGCAUCUGUCAAUUCUGAUCGCAGUGGCGCAACUAUAAGACGAGUGGUUAAAUUUAAGAUUAGAAAAGUUAAACGAACUAUAAAUUAGGACAGAGGGAAUAAUAUAAUAGUAGUAUUCUACUAA